GACGAACGCUGGCGGCGUGCUUAACACAUGCAAGUCGAGCGGUAAGGCCCUUUCGGGGGUACACGAGCGGCGAACGGGUGAGUAACACGUGGGUGACCUGCCCUCAGCUCUGGGAUAAGCCUGGGAAACCGGGUCUAAUACCGGAUAUGACUCCAUGACGCAUGUUGUGGGGUGAAAGCCUUGUGCGGCUGAGGAUGGGCCCGCGGCCUAUCAGCUUGUUGGUGGGGUGAUGGCCUACCAAGGCGACGACGGGUAGCCGGCCUGAGAGGGCGACCGGCCACACUGGGACUGAGACACGGCCCAGACUCCUACGGGAGGCAGCAGUGGGGAAUCUUGCGCAAUGGGCGAAAGCCUGACGCAGCGACG
rnacentral:rRNA from 1 species